GACAUACUCUCUCCGUUCGGAAAUACUUGUCCGAGAAAUGAAUAAAAUAAAUGUAUCUAUAACUAAAAUAAGUCUAGAUACAAUCAUUUUUAGGAUAAGUAUUUUCGGACGGAGGGAGUAGUAU
rnacentral:pre_miRNA from 1 species